rnacentral:tRNA from 1 species
GCCCAGGUGGCGAAAUUGGUAGACGCACCAGCUUGAGGGGCUGGCGCCUGUAUGGGUGUGCAAGUUCGAAUCUUGUUCUGGGCACCA